rnacentral:lncRNA from 1 species
AAGAAAGAUAAAACAGAAUGGAAGCUAAAGUGACCAAAUUUUAUAGUAAAAAUCUGCACCAAAGUGAUUGUGUGGACACUUUAUCUAUUUGGAACCAAGAAAUUAAAGAAGAAAAGGCUACACAAGCCCCCCGGUACAUAGUUGUGUAUUCUACGUUGUGGGUUCCUCUAGUUGUGGCAUGUGGGACGCUGCCUCAGCGUGGUCUGACGAGCAGUGCCAUGUCCGCGCCCAGGAUUCGAACCGACGAAACACUGGGCCGCCUGCAGCGGAGCGCGC